UACGGGGGGGGCAAGCGUUGUUCGGAAUUACUGGGCGUAAAGGGCUCGUAGGUGGCCAACUAAGUCAGAUGUGAAAUCCCUCAGCUUAACUGGGGAACUGCGUCUGAUACUGGAUGGCUUGAGUUUGGGAGAGGGAUGCGGAAUUCCAGGUGUAGCGGUGAAAUGCGUAGAUAUCUGGAGGAACACCGGUGGCGAAGGCGGCAUCCUGGACCAACACUGACACUGAUGAGCGAAAGCCAGGGGAGCAAACGGG
rnacentral:rRNA from 1 species